UACGAAGGGGGCUAGCGUUGCUCGGAAUCACUGGGCGUAAAGGGUGCGUAGGCGGGUUUCUAAGUCAGAGGUGAAAGCCUGGAGCUCAACUCCAGAACUGCCUUUGAUACUGGAAGUCUUGAGUUCGGGAGAGGUGAGUGGAACUGCGAGUGUAGAGGUGAAAUUCGUAGAUAUUCGCAAGAACACCAGUGGCGAAGGCGGCUCACUGGCCCGAUACUGACGCUGAGGCACGAAAGCGUGGGGAGCAAACCGG
rnacentral:rRNA from 1 species